GGUCACCAGUUCGAUUCUGGUUCUCAACAUAA
rnacentral:tRNA from 1 species